UUAACAUGUACAGGGGGGAAAUAUUUGCUUAUGUAUUUGUCUUGAAUCAAUGUUCACUUUUCAGUUUGUUGAAAAGAACAGAUUCAACAGAACUAAUGAGGCUUUCCUCUGUCAUAUUUCUUAUUUUGUUUAAAAGCCAGGAAUGACAUGCUGACCGUCCAUGCCAUUGGGUGGAAUAGACAGAAGCAGAAUGCUCUUCAUCUUGCAUUAUCUCGAAGAUACAUUAAGACAUUACAAAAAGCUGAGGCUGAGUCUCAAAGACUGACAGAUUUGAUGGCUGAAGUUGGUUGUCCUGAGAACAUGCUGGAGUCAUGGGUACAUGAUGUCCGACAGUGGGCUACUGAUGAUUCUUCAGGUACCAGAAAUAGUGACCAGCAGGACCUCCAGCAGUCCAUUGAACAGUUGUUUCUGGGUGUU